rnacentral:rRNA from 1 species
GACGAACGCUGGCGGCGUGCUUAACACAUGCAAGUCGAACGAAGAGCGAUGGAAGCUUGCUUCUAUCAAUCUUAGUGGCGAACGGGUGAGUAACGCGUAAUCAACCUGCCCUGCAGAGGGGGACAACAGUUGGAAACGACUGCUAAUACCGCAUACGAUCUAAUCUCGGCAUCGAGGAUGGAUGAAAGGUGGCCUCUACAUGUAAGCUAUCACUGAAGGAGGGGAUUGCGUCUGAUUAGCUAGUUGGAGGGGUAACGGCCCACCAAGGCGAUGAUCAGUAGCCGGUCUGAGAGGAUGAACGGCCACAUUGGGACUGAGACACGGCCCAGACUCCUACGGGAGGCAGCAGUGGGGAAUCUUCCGCAAUGGACGAAAGUCUGACGGAGCAACGCCGCGUGAGUGAUGACGGCCUUCGGGUUGUAAAGCUCUGUUAAUCGGGACGAAAGGCCUUCUUGCGAAUAGUGAGAAGGAUUGACGGUACCGGAAUAGAAAGCCACGGCUAACUACGUG